GCUAGAGUAACAGUUUAAUAUUGUGUUCAAUUUCUCUACUUUAAUUGUAAAAAAUUAUUCGACACCAUUAAAAUAUAACCUAUUGUUAUUUAAUAUUUAUUACAACCUUGCCAAGGUUGGGGUCGCGAGUUCGAGUCUCGUUUCCCGCUCCA
rnacentral:tRNA from 1 species